UACGUAGGGCGCAAGCGUUGUCCGGAAUUAUUGGGCGUAAAGAGCUCGUAGGCGGUUUGUCGCGUCUGCUGUGAAAACUCGAGGCUCAACCUCGGGCCUGCAUUCGAUACGGGCAGACUAGAGUUCGGUAGGGGAGACUGGAAUUCCUGGUGUAGCGGUGAAAUGCGCAGAUAUCAGGAGGAACACCGGUGGCGAAGGCGGGUCUCUAGGCCGAUACUGACGCUGAGGAGCGAAAGCGUGGGGAGCGAACAGG
rnacentral:rRNA from 1 species